ACGUGGCAUUUUAUUUUUAGAAAGGGACAAUAACUUAUAUAUUUUUAAAAAGCUUUCGGCUUUCUAAUUUAUCUCUCUUAGAAAGUUAAUAUUGAAAAUAUUUUUUUUACCUUCCAACUUAUUUCAAAUAUAUCGCUAGAGUUAAAAUCUGUUAAUGAAUUAUAUUAUCUCUAUAAAAUAUAUUCUUCUACCAUAUAUUACUGGCUUUUCUUAUUUGUUCUUAAGUUAGGGGAUACAAAAUAUAUUUUGCUUUUUGGUCUUCUCAAAUAUACCCUUCUACCAUCACCAAUAUUUCUUAUUUGCCCUUAAGUUAAGAACAAAAGUGGCAUUUUAAUUUUUUUUAACUGUGCUAGAUAUUUAACUCACGUUUAAUCCAAAUUAACUUACUGGAUGGUAACUGCAGGAGUAUUUUAGAAUAAUGGAGGAAUAUAUGAGGGGUAUAUUAAAAAUAAAAAAAAAGUAAGAAUAAAUAAGAUAUUUUAAAAGUUCUGAAGGAUAUAUAUAGACAAUUAUUCCUGAAAUA
rnacentral:lncRNA from 1 species